AUGGGAGUAACGGCAGUAUUCCAGCCCACAGUGGAAAUCCAGGAGGAGGUGACACCUUCAGGAGGAGGCUACACGUUCAGCAAGAUGGCUGCUGCCACUGCCCUGAGUCGGUCAGACGUGAUUAAAGCUCUGUUCGAACACGCCCUAGUUUCCUCAAAGGGAGCACUCUCAGGCUUCCCUGAACUUCCAGGCCUCAGGACUAAGCACAGGCCCGCACUGCUCUGUGGGGCUCUGGCCGAUCCGGGCCUGGCCGGCACCACGUGCGCGUCCCAGGACGACUGGCGCUGUGCGCGUUCCACGCACAAGUUUUCCGCCAAGGACAUUGACGGGCACACGGUUAACCUGGACAAGUACCGGGGCUUCGUGUGCAUCGUCACCAACGUGGCCUCCCAAUGAGGCAAAACCGAAGUGAACUACGCUCAGCCUGUCGACCUGCACGCCCCACACGCUGAGUGUGGUUUGCGGAUCCUGGCCUUCCCCUGCCCCCAGUUCGGGAAGCAGGAGCCGGGGGGUAACAAGAGAUCAAAGAGUUCGCCACUGUCUAUAACGUCAAAUUCGACACGCUCAGCAAGAUCUGCGUGAACGGGGAUGACGCCCACCCGCUGUGGAAGUGGAUGAAGAUCCAGCCCAAGGGCAAGGGCCUCCUAGGAAAUGCCAUCCAGUGGAACUUCACCAAGUUCCUCAUCGACAAGAAUGGCUGUGUGGUGAAGUGGUGCGGACCCAUGGAGGAGCCCCAGGUCAUAGAGAAGGACCUGCCCUGCUAUUUCUAGCUCCACAAGUAUGUAGCCCUGUCCAGGCCCCUGCCCUCGCCCCCGGAGCCUUCCACCUGGCACCCAUGAUGGCCUGCCUGCAAACCAGCUGAUGGUGGGGCAGACCUGAAAACCCAGCGUGCACCCUUUCGGAAGAAGGUCCCGUGGUCCGCUGGGCUUGGCUUGGUGUCCCCGCCCCUGGCUGCUUUGUGGGAAUAAACAAGACAAAUUGG